GUCAGGAUGGCCGAGCGGUCCAAGGCGCUGAGUUCAGGUCGCAGUCCGGUCUUCCGGGCGUGGGUUCGAAUCCCACUUCUGACA
rnacentral:tRNA from 1 species